UCAGGAUGAACGCUAGCUACAGGCUUAACACAUGCAAGUCGAGGGCAGCAUUAUCGAAACUGCUUGAUAGAUGGCGACCGGCGCACGGGUGAGUAACGCGUAUCCAACCUUCCCAUCACUCAGGGAUAGCCCGCCGAAAGGCGAAUUAAUACCUGAUGGUCUCCUUUGCAGACAUCUAACGAGGAGUAAAGAUUCAUUGGUGAUGGAUGGGGAUGCGUCUGAUUAGGUAGUAGGCGGGGUAACGGCCCACCUAGCCGACGAUCAGUAGGGGUUCUGAGAGGAAGGUCCCCCACAUUGGAACUGAGACACGGUCCAAACUCCUACGGGAGGCAGCAGUGAGGAAUAUUGGUCAAUGGACGGAAGUCUGAACCAGCCAAGUAGCGUGCAAGGAUGACGGCCCUAUGGGUUGUAAACUGCUUUUGUGCGGGAAUAAAGUAUGGGACGUGUCCCAUUUUGCAUGUACCGCACGAAUAAGGACCGGCUAAUUCCGUGCCAGCAGCGGC
rnacentral:rRNA from 1 species